rnacentral:lncRNA from 1 species
CACCACAGGAAAGUCCAUUUAAGAUGUUGGUAGGUUUAACAAAGUUGGAAUGCUGGCACUGUUGAAUUGGGCAACAGUUCUUCAGACCUGGCUCAGAGCUACAAUGCAUUUAGUAUAUUAAAGCAGCUGACAUGAUGACUUUUUGCGAGCCUUCCCAGGCACUGGAGUUUUUCUGUUAAUUUGCCGCACUAGGUCAUAAAAGAUCUGCAAAUACAAUAAUUUGUUUUAAUUUACAGGAGGAACACCUAUCCCCCCC